UACGGAGGAUCCGAGCGUUAUCCGGAUUUAUUGGGUUUAAAGGGUGCGUAGGCGGCCUGUUAAGUCAGGGGUGAAAGACGGUAGCUCAACUAUCGCAGUGCCCUUGAUACUGAUGGGCUUGAAUGUACUAGAGGUAGGCGGAAUGUGACAAGUAGCGGUGAAAUGCAUAGAUAUGUCACAGAACACCAAUUGCGAAGGCAGCUUAAUAUGGUAUGAUUGACGCUGAGGCACGAAAGCGUGGGGAUCAAACAGG
rnacentral:rRNA from 1 species